rnacentral:rRNA from 1 species
UCGAGCGGUACACAGAGAGCUUGCUCUCGGGUGACGAGCGGCGGACGGGUGAGUAAUGUCUGGGAAACUGCCUGAUGGAGGGGGAUAACUACUGGAAACGGUAGCUAAUACCGCAUAACGUCGCAAGACCAAAGUGGGGGACCUUCGGGCCUCAUGCCAUCAGAUGUGCCCAGAUGGGAUUAGCUAGUAGGUGGGGUAAUGGCUCACCUAGGCGACGAUCCCUAGCUGGUCUGAGAGGAUGACCAGCCACACUGGAACUGAGACACGGUCCAGACUCCUACGGGAGGCAGCAGUGGGGAAUAUUGCACAAUGGGCGCAAGCCUGAUGCAGCCAUGCCGCGUGUAUGAAGAAGGCCUUCGGGUUGUAAAGUACUUUCAGCGAGGAGGAAGGCGUUAAGGUUAAUAACCUUGGUGAUUGACGUUACUCGCAGAAGAAGCACCGGCUAACUCCGUGCCAGCAGCCGCGGUAAUACGGAGGGUGCAAGCGUUAAUCGGAAUUACUGGGCGUAAAGCGCACGCAGGCGGUCUGUCAAGUCGGAUGUGAAAUCCCCGGGCUCAACCUGGGAACUGCAUUCGAAACUGGCAGGCUAGAGUCUUGUAGAGGGGGGUAGAAUUCCAGGUGUANCGGUGAAAUGCNUANAGAUCUGGAGGAAUACCCGUNGGCNAAGNCGNCCCCCUGGACANAACAGGAUUAGAUACCCUGGUAGUCCACGCCGUAAACGAUGUCGACNUGGAGGUUGUGCCCUUGAGGCGUGGCUUCCGGAGCUAACGCGUUAAGUCGACCGCCUGGGGAGUACGGCCGCAAGGUUAAAACUCAAAUGAAUUGACGGGGGCCCGCACAAGCGGUGGAGCAUGUGGUUUAAUUCGAUGCAACGCGAAGAACCUUACCUACUCUUGACAUCCAGAGAACUUAGCAGAGAUGCUUUGGUGCCUUCGGGAACUCUGAGACAGGUGCUGCAUGGCUGUCGUCAGCUCGUGUUGUGAAAUGUUGGGUUAAGUCCCGCAACGAGCGCAACCCUUAUCCUUUGUUGCCAGCGAUUCGGUCGGGAACUCAAAGGAGACUGCCAGUGAUAAACUGGAGGAAGGUGGGGAUGACGUCAAGUCAUCAUGGCCCUUACGAGUAGGGCUACACACGUGCUACAAUGGCAUAUACAAAGAGAAGCGACCUCGCGAGAGCAAGCGGACCUCAUAAAGUAUGUCGUAGUCCGGAUUGGAGUCUGCAACUCGACUCCAUGAAGUCGGAAUCGCUAGUAAUCGUAGAUCAGAAUGCUACGGUGAAUACGUUCCCGGGCCUUGUACACACCGCCCGUCACACCAUGGGAGUGGGUUGCAAAAGAAGUAGGUAGCUUAACCUUCGGGAGGGCGNNUUC